AGCCCCAUAGUGUAGCGGUCAAUCACGCUGGGAUUUGAUCCCAGAGACAGGUGUUCAAAAAGGUGUUCUCGAGGGAAGCCUUGAAUUAAUCACCUUGGGGCAA
rnacentral:tRNA from 1 species